AUUGAACGCUGGCGGCAGGCUUAACACAUGCAAGUCGAGCGGUAGCACAAGAGAGCUUGCUCUCUGGGUGACGAGCGGCGGACGGGUGAGUAAUGUCUGGGAAACUGCCUGAUGGAGGGGGAUAACUACUGGAAACGGUAGCUAAUACCGCAUAAUGUCGCAAGACCAAAGAGGGGGACCUUCGGGCCUCUUGCCAUCAGAUGUGCCCAGAUGGGAUUAGCUAGUAGGUGGGGUAAUGGCUCACCUAGGCGACGAUCCCUAGCUGGUCUGAGAGGAUGACCAGCCACACUGGAACUGAGACACGGUCCAGACUCCUACGGGAGCAGCAGUGGGGAAUAUUGCACAAUGGGCGCAAGCCUGAUGCAGCCAUGCCGCGUGUGUGAAGAAGGCCUUCGGGUUGUAAAGCACUUUCAGCGAGGAGGAAGGUGGUGAGCUUAAUACGUUCAUCAAUUGACGUUACUCGCAGAA
rnacentral:rRNA from 1 species